rnacentral:rRNA from 1 species
AGCGUACGCUGGCGGCAGGCCUAACACAUGCAAGUCGAACGGACCCUUCGGGGUUAGUGGCGGACGGGUGAGUAACACGUGGGAACGUGCCUUUUGGUUCGGAACAACUCAGGGAAACUUGAGCUAAUACCGAAUGUGCCCUUCGGGGGAAAGAUUUAUCGCCAUUAGAGCGGCCCGCGUCUGAUUAGCUUGUUGGUGAGGUAAUGGCUCACCAAGGCGACGAUCAGUAGCUGGUCUGAGAGGAUGAUCAGCCACAUUGGGACUGAGACACGGCCCAAACUCCUACGGGAGGCAGCAGUGGGGAAUCUUGCGCAAUGGGCGAAAGCCUGACGCAGCCAUGCCGCGUGAAUGAUGAAGGUCUUAGGAUUGUAAAAUUCUUUCACCGGGGACGAUAAUGACGGUACCCGGAGAAGAAGCCCCGGCUAACUUCGUGCCAGCCGCCGCAGUAA